rnacentral:tRNA from 1 species
GCCGCCGUAGCUCAGCCUGGUUAGAGCGCCGGACUCAUACUAUCCGGUUGUCCGGGGUUCAAAUCCCCGCGGCG